rnacentral:rRNA from 1 species
UACAGAGACCUCAAGCGUUAUCCGGAAUCAUUGGGUGUAAAGCGUACCGAUAGGUGGUUUUACAAGUCAGAGGUGAAAUCCCAAGGCUCAACUUUGGGACUGUCCUUUGAAACUGUACAACUAGAGGGGCAAAGAGGAAGCUGGAACGAACGGUGUAGUAGUGAAAUGCGUUGAUAUCGUUCGGAACACCAAUAGCGUAGGCAGGCUUCUGGGUGCCACCUGACACUGCUAGGACGAAAGCGUGGGGAGCGAACAGG